rnacentral:rRNA from 1 species
UAGGGGAAUCUUCGGCAAUGGGGGGCAACCCUGACCGAGCAACGCCGCGUGAGUGAAGAAGGUUUUCGGAUCGUAAAGCUCUGUUGUAAGAGAAGAACGUGUGUGAGAGUGGAAAGUUCACACAGUGACGGUAACUUACCAGAAAGGGACGGCUAACUACGUGCAAG